rnacentral:rRNA from 1 species
UCGCGCGCGCGCUCGGCCUCGAGCCGUGGCCGGGCGAGCCGACGCGCGAAGGCACCGCGUACGUGACGUCGGAGGAUCUGCUGAAGCAGCCGGAUCUCGCGGUGCUGUUCGUGAGCGCGACCGAGCCGGGCGUGCCGCUCGACGCGAAGCUCGAUUCGAGCAUCUGGCGAUUCGUGCCGGCGCGCCGGGCGGGGCGGGUCGCGCUCGUCGAGCGCAACAUCUGGGGGUUCGGCGGCCCGAUGUCGGCGUUGCGGCUCGCCGACGAGAUGACGCAGCGGGUGCUGGCAUUGCCGAAGCCCGCGGCCGGCGCGCCGCCGCGGUGAUGUCGGCGCGGGCCGUCGGGGCGGGGCGGCGCGCCGGGGGGCGGCUUGAUGGCCGCUGUCGCGGCUGAUCGGCGAUUACCGAUUACCGAGAAGCGAGAAACGAGAAGCGAGAAGCGAGAAACGACCGCAGGCUCCGGAUCCCAGGCUCCGGGUCGCAACUGUCGGACGUUCGCCCGAUGCGCGGCUACCGAUCUUGCGGCAUCGUCCCGGGCCGAAGGUACGCGAACAUGUGCGAGACAUAGUCCGGCUUGCCCAGCGCGACGCCGUGAUGGCGCAGAAUCGCAUACGCGGCGAUCGCGUGGAAAUAGAACUGCGGCAGCGCCCAGUCGCGCAGGUACUGCUCGCCCGUCAUGUCGAACACCGCGCCGUUGGGCAGCUCGAGCGCGAUCGGCCGCUCGGCGCCUUCGUCGAGCGCGUGCGGCGCCAGCCCGGCGAGCAAGGCGCGCGCAUCGGCGAGGCAGGCCUGCGCAUCGCGCAGAGAGCCGGGCGCGGCGUCCGCCUGCCAUCCCGCGCGCCGCACCUCCAGCAACGAUUCGGGAAGCGCGUCGCCGCGCAGGCGAUAGACGGGCUCCUGCGCCUGAAAGGCCGUGAAGCGGAUUUGCGCGGCAAGCGCGAACAUAUCGGCGGCGAGCCGUUUCGUCAGCACAUCGUCGGGCUCGGCGCCCAAUGCCCGCUGGUGCGCGGCGGCCUUGUCGAGCCACGCGGACAAACUCUGCAGCAUGUGCGUGAACGUCGGAACGAGCAGCGCGGUCGGCGACAUGAGCGAUCUCCGGAAGGUGUCGUGCGUGAACGAUACCAGCGAACGGCGGCGAACGGCGUGCGCAGGCGACCGGCGCUGAACGGCAACGAGAUGCGAUGGCACGCGAGGGGGCGCGGUGCGUGCCGGCGAAGGCGAGCGGCGCGUGAGCGCCGCGACGGGUGGCCGCGGGCGGCCGCGCUCGGCGCGGCGCAUCGCCGAGCGCUUCGGAUGCGUGCGAUGACGCGCACCGCCGCCUGUCGCACCGCUCACACGCCAGCCGGAGCCGCGCUCGCCGGCCGACAGCGGCGCGGCCGCGCUCGGCGCGGCGAGCGG